GCCCGGGUAGCUCAGUUGGUAGAGCAUGCGACUGAAAAUCGCAGUGUCGGUGGUUCGAUUCCGCCCCCGGGCA
rfam:Methylocystis bryophila strain S285, complete genome.